GCCUAACCCUCGGAUGCCUGGCCUAGUGCCGGAAGAAUUUCCUGAGGCCUAACCCUCGGAUGCCUGGCCUAGUGCUGGAAGAAUUUUCUGAGGCCUAACCCUCGGAUGCCUGGCCUAGCGCCGGAAGAAUUUCCUGAGGCCUAACCCUCGGAUGCCUGGCCUAGCGCCGGAGGAACUUCAAGAGUCAGGAGUCGGCGAG
rnacentral:lncRNA from 1 species